AUUUUUAAAAUAGUCGUGUUUUUUAUAUAUUAAGCGGGACUGUUUUCGUAUCCCUCAUUCAUAGCUAUGCAACGAAAUACCCGGGCAAGCUUGAUUCAGUGGACAAGGUACGUUAUUGGGUUUUACUAGAGACAGAUGUGCAGAAUAUUGGUAAGAACCUUCUUUCCCCACUUUAAACUUUUCAUUACAUUUUUUCUUAAACAUCACAUAGUAAAAAUAAGUGCUAUGCGUUUGAAUUUUUCAGUUUUUUGCUGUUUAUUGAUACCUUCAAUCGACUCUCAUUCACCAUCGAUAUAUAACAAACUCCUUUCUUAACUAACCCCUCUACUCUAUAAACAUUAGCACAACUUAAUCUUCAGUUUAAUUGAAAUUAAGUAUCCCACAUUGUACAAAUACAAUAUAGCAAAUAUGAGUGGCUAGAAUAAUACAGCAUUAAAAGUUUGAGUUUUGAGUGUUAACCAAAUAUUUAAUAAGCUUUAUGAUUAGUAAAGGACAGUAAUCCUGAGACACGCUUAAUAGUCAAUAGCACCUUUUUGGUAUUAUUAUUUGAAUCUCGUGUAGUGUGACUCGCUUUCUAUAGCCUCAUUGAACUUUCCAUCAUUAUAGCAAAACUUUUAAUUCACAAUGCAUUACCGUUUUUGGAAUCAAUUCGCAAGACUCUGAUAUAUAUCGAGGAAUGGUUUAUUUUCAUUUUAAUUUAUAAGUGUGCCUCUGAACAAUUACGAAUUAUAGAUGUGGAUAUCAUUGACGUCUCAUUGUUAUUAUUUUUUACAUUGCUAGUGUGUUUCCUGCUUCUGUUAUAAAUGUUGCACAACUUGUAGAGCUAUUAAAAAAAAAUAUUAUUUUAGAUGUUUCUAUAAUAUCAAAUAUCGUUACGUAUCCAUCGAAUAAUUACAAGAAAUUAAGACUAAACCCAGAUUACAAACCUCUAAUCAAAUGCAACUGCUGAAUCCAAUCCCCCCACUUAACGUAUUGCUACAAUAAUCUGAUCCAGUGUUAUGCUACAAUUAUACACUAUCUCUGAAUUAACGUAAUGGAGCAUUAAUGAUUUUUAAAAAAG